rnacentral:rRNA from 1 species
AUCCUGGCUCAGGAUUAGAUACCCUGGGAGUCAUGAGUUUUAACCUGCGUCAGAAUUACACGCGAGUAACCUGCCCUUAACUCUGGGAUAAGCCUGGGAAACUGGGUCUAAUACCGGAUAGGAGCGUCCACCGCAUGGUGGGUGUUGGAAAGAUUUAUCGGUUUUGGAUGGACUCGCGGCCUAUCAGCUUGUUGGUGAGGUAAUGGCUCACCAAGGCGACGACGGGUAGCCGGCCUGAGAGGGUGACCGGCCACACUGGGACUGAGACACGGCCCAGACUCCUACGGGAGGCAGCAGUGGGGAAUAUUGCACAAUGGGCGCAAGCCUGAUGCAGCGACGCCGCGUGAGGGAUGACGGCCUUCGGGUUGUAAACCUCUUUCAGUAGGGAAGAAGCGAAAGUGACGGUACCUGCAGAAGAAGCACCGGCUAACUACGUGCCAGCAGCCGCGGUAAUACGUAGGGUGCGAGCGUUAUCCGGAAUUAUUGGGCGUAAAGAGCUCGUAGGCGGUUUGUCGCGUCUGUCGUGAAAGUCCGGGGCUUAACCCCGGAUCUGCGGUGGGUACGGGCAGACUAGAGUGCAGUAGGGGAGACUGGAAUUCCUGGUGUAGCGGUGGAAUGCGCAGAUUUCAGUAGCAUCGUAGUCGUCAGUUUCAUCUCGGCGCACGAUUAGAUACCCUGGUAGUC